rnacentral:rRNA from 1 species
AACGAACGCUGGCGGCAUGCCUAACACAUGCAAGUCGAACGGGACCUUCGGGUCUAGUGGCGCACGGGUGCGUAACGCGUGGGAAUCUGCCCUUUGCUUCGGAAUAACAGUUAGAAAUGACUGCUAAUACCGGAUGAUGUCGAAAGACCGAAGAUUUAUCGGCAAAGGAUGAGCCCGCGUAGGAUUAGGUAGUUGGUGGGGUAAAGGCCUACCAAGCCGACGAUCCUUAGCUGGUCUGAGAGGAUGAUCAGCCACACUGGGACUGAGACACGGCCCAGACUCCUACGGGAGGCAGCAGUGGGGAAUAUUGGACAAUGGGCGAAAGCCUGAUCCAGCAAUGCCGCGUGAGUGAUGAAGGCCUUAGGGUUGUAAAGCUCUUUUACCAGGGAUGAUAAUGACAGUACCUGGAGAAUAAGCUCCGGCUAACUCCGUGCCAGCCGCCGCGGUAACAC